UGGCGGACGGGUGAGUAACGCGUGAGCAACCUGCCCUUCGGAGGGGGAUAGUGUCUGGAAACGGACAGUAAUACCGCAUAACGUAUUUUACCGCAUGAUAGAAAUACCAAAACUGAGGUGCCGAAGGAUGGGCUCGCGUUGGAUUAGAUAGUUGGUGGGGUAACGGCCUACCAAGUCAACGAUCCAUAGCCGGACUGAGAGGUUGAACGGCCACAUUGGGACUGAGACACGGCCCAGACUCCUACGGGAGGCAGCAG
rnacentral:rRNA from 1 species